AAAAUAGCUUCUACAAAGGCAAUUUUGGAUAAGACAACGAACAAAUGCAAAGGUUACGGUUUUGUCGACUUCGACAGCCCUGCAGCAGCUCAGAAAGCUGUGUUUGCCCUGAAGGCUAGUGGGGUUCAAGCGCAGAUGGCAAAGCAACAGGAACAAGAUCCUACCAACCUGUAUGUUUCUAAUUUGCCACUGUCCAUGGAUGAGCAAGAACUUGAAAAUAUGCUCAAACCCUUUGGACAAGUUAUUUCUACAAGGAUACUUCGUGAUUCCAGUGGUACAAGUUGUGGUGUUGGCUUUGCUAGGAUAGAUUCAACAGAAAAAUGCGAAGCUGUUAUUGGUCAUUUUAAUGGAAAAUUCAUUAAAACAUCACCAGGAGUUUCUGCUCCUGCAGAACCUUUAUUGUGUAAGUUCGCAGAUGGAGGACAGAAGAGGCAGAAUCCCAACAAAUACAUCCCUAAUGGAAGACCAUGGCAUAGAGAAGGAGAGGCUGGAAUGACACUUACUUAUGACCCAACUACAGCUGCUAUACAGAACGGAUUUUAUCCUUCACCAUACAGUAUUGCUACAAACCGAAUGAUCACUCAAACUUCUAUUACACCCUAUAUUGCAUCUCUUGUAUCUGCUUACCAGGUGCAAAGUCCUUCUUGGAUGCAACCUCAACCAUAUAUUCUGCAGCACCCUAGUGCUGUGUUAACUCCCUUAAUGGAGCACACCAUGUCACUACAGCCUGCAUCUGUGAUCAGUCCUCUGGCCCAGCUGAUGGCUCAUCUGUCACUAGGCAGCACCUGAACAUACAUGCCUGCAACAUCAGCUAUGCAAGGAGCCUAUUUGCCACAGUAUGCACACAUGCAGACAAUGGCAGUUCCUGUUGAGGAGGCAAGUGGUCAGCAGCAGGUGGCUGCAGAGAUGUCUAAUGACCAUUCUCCGUAUACCUUUCAACCUAAUAAGUAACUGUGAGAUGUACAGAAGGACGUUCUUACAUGAAGAAGGGUGUGAAGGCUGAACAGUCAUGGAUUUUUCUGAUCAAUUGUGCUUUAGGAAAUUAUUGACAGUUUUGCACAGGUUCUUGAAAAUGUUAUUUAUGAUGAAAUCA